UCUAAGGCGUCAUUAUCUUCCCCACUGUCACUCUCUCUCUCUCUCUUCCUCCAGUAUAGUCUACUAUAUACAGAAAGCCACCACCUUAUCUCGAUCCUUCGUCAAUCCUCUCUCAUACCAUGGUUAGUUUAAUCUCAGAUUUCGUUGUCGGUCAUGAUAGGAUUAGAGACGCGAUGAAGAUAACCAUCAAUCGGACUUCGUUUUAGCUUUCACCGACACCGCCUCUUCCAUAGCCUCCAUUGAAGAAGCAGGAGAACGGAGCGUUGUUGUCGAAUGAUCUGUCUACCCUAAUCUAUGGCUUUCUCCACUGAUGGCGUUGAAAAUUAACACAGCGUUGUUGUCGAAUGAUGAUAAGGUGAACUUUCUCAUCGGUUGCGUUGAUGUAAACAACGUAGGGUUUUGUUUCCAUUCAAAAUCUUCAUAUUUACUAAUUUUUCUACUCAUUAAAGUGGAACUAAGUCGGUAGGGAUGAUAUUGAACAAAGAUGAUAGGGUUAUUGAUCUUUCCUUUUUGCUUGAUGAUGGCACAGGUCGCAUAGACUGCAACAGAUGGGUUCAUGAACGAGUAGACACGAAGGAGAUGGAAGCAUUAAUGUAAAUCUCCAAUUACUUCUAGGUUUUCAAAUGGAAAAUUGAUUGGAAAUUUUGAUAGUCUCUUCUUUUUUAUCUGAAUAUUUUGGGCAGAAAUCUAUGACAGAUUCGAUUUCAUAUUCCAGAACAAAAGUCGAAGUAGCCUUUUGCGGGAACCCUAUAAAUCUUUACAUCUCAUUUGGACCGUCCAUGAAAAAACACCACGGAACUUGACUCCACUGCUGAUGCAUCAGAAGUCUAAAUGGCAUACCGGAAAACAACACUAAAACAUUAUUCUGAUAAGGAUUUGAAGAACAAACAGAGAAGUUGCAAGCUAGGGAAGCCAAUUUCAGGAAGAGGGAAGAGGUACUCAAGAAAUGUCGUCUACAUAUAUGUUUAUCAUCAUUUAAAUAUAUUUUUAAAUACGUAGUCACUCAUAAUAGUAAUUACUUGAGUAGUUAGCAAACCAAUGAAUGAAAAACUACAUUUUUUAACAGAUACACAAAAAUCUUCAAAUAGACAAAUAAUUCACUACAAUUAUUAGAUUCAUAAUAUAACAGUUUAGCACAUACUAAUCCCCAUUUUUCUUGACAUUUAUUUGUUUUGGUUAGGAUAUUUAAGGCCCAUUUUUGUUUUCUGACUUUUUAUUUUUAAUGUCUUGAAAUGUGUUAGAUCUUGCUAGACUUGAUAGCCGAUGUGUCUUCUGUUAAGUGUAUUUUCAUAAGCGAUUACAUGGUGGUCUAAUGACCAGCUUACCAUCUGAUGCUAUAAGUGGGUAUAUUUUAUUAUGCCAUCAAAUCUAGGUUUUUGGAAUGUUUACAUUUUAAAGUUGGUUGCUACUUUAAAGUUUUCUUGACCAUAAAUUUAUAGAAACCAAUUUUAAUUUUCUCUUGUGCUAUGUUGCUAUUUGUAGAGAUACUUUUUUUGCUAAACCAUAUAUUACCUCUUUGCCCUCCGGACCCGUUUAUGCGUGUGGAACGAAAGCAUGAACAGUUGAACCGGGUUCAUCCAAACGUGCUUCAUUGGACUGAUGUUAAGUGGGUUUUUUUUGCAUAUCUUAGAACAAAAUACUAAAAUAGGGCAAUGUAUUUUCAUUUUAAUGUUUAGCUUUAUGUAAUUUGGAUCCUUUUUUUCUGCAAAGAGCAAUGUCCUCUAUUUUUAUUAUUUUAAGCAUCAAAAUUGUAGAAGGGCGAAUUGCAGAGAAUAGCAUUAUACUUAACUGUGGCUACCAAUUAAGACAAUGUACUAUACUUUAACACAAAAACAACACCUUCCAACCCCCGCAACGCGGGGGAAUGCA